rnacentral:rRNA from 1 species
UACGUAGGGGGCAAGCGUUGUCCGGAAUCAUUGGGCGUAAAGAGCGUGUAGGCGGCCUGGUAAGUCCGCUGUGAAAGUCCAGGGCUCAACCCUGGAAUGCCGGUGGAAACUGUCAGGCUCGAGUCCGGAAGAGGCGAGUGGAAUUCCUGGUGUAGCGGUGAAAUGCGCAGAUAUCAGGAAGAACACCCGUGGCGAAGGCGGCUCUCUGGUACGUGACUGACGCUGAGACGCGAAAGCGUGGGGAGCAAACAGG